GAAAUGCGAUAAGUAAUGUGAAUUGCAGAAUUCAGUGAAUCAUCGAAUCUUUGAACGCACAUUGCGCCCGCCAGUAUUCUGGCGGGCAUGCCUGUCCGAGCGUCAUUUCAACCAUCAAGCCCCCGGGCUUGUGUUGGGGACCUGCGGCUGCCCGCAGGCCCUGAAAACCAGUGGCGGGCUCGCUGUCACACCGAGCGUAGUAGCAAUCACCUCGCUCAGGGCGUGCUGCGGGUUCCGGCCGUUAAACAGCCUUACAAAAUCCAAGGUUGACCUCGGAUCAGGUAGGAAGACCCGCUGAACUUAAGC
rnacentral:misc_RNA from 1 species